UGUAUUAUCCCUAUUUUUAUUUGAAAUUACAAAACUAUCCUUAAACCUAAUUUUUACCUAAACCCUAAUUUCCAAAUUGGGAAAACCCUAACCCGGUUACCCUUUCCCCAACCCAGCAGCAACAAACACACACAAACACAACAAGCACACACAGCAAAACACACGCACCCACUCACUGCAACAGAGAAGAAAUGGGAGGCAGAAGUAGGGGAAGAAGAGAAGAGGAGGGGGAAGACUGCACCGGCGUGCUGGGCCUCACUGCUGCCAUCGAGCCAUCAUUUCACCAAAGAAGGAAAAGAGCAUCGCGCCUGCCAUGAGCUUGCCGUCGCCGUGGAGCCAUCGCGGUCGAGCCGAGUCCAGAGGAGGGUUCCAGGUAGCAGCUGCCGCGCGCGAGCUAUAGGAGCUCGUCCUCGCUGAUCUGCCGCCAUUGGAGUCGCGCACAGAGGACGCGCGAAGGGGAGUUGUCGUGAAGCCCGUCACCGCCGCUGUUGAACCCGCGCCAUCGUCGUUCUUGUCAUGGAGUCAUCGCCGUCACUUAUGGCAGAGCCAGAGAGAGAGAGUUCGGGAGCAGUGCAGACGAGAGAGAUCUGAGGCUAAGCUGGGGGUCCAACCACCGUGCCCAGCCACUGUUCGCGUCGCCUCCAUCGGAACCGCCGCCGUCACUGCCAGCUUUCAUCUCCAUCGUGGUUGAUUAUGGAUGACAGGGGACGAAGCUGCCUCUACCGCCGGAGAAGGCUCUGCCGUUGAUCCAUUCUGAGCCAUAAUCAUCGCCGUUAGGCUGACUCUGAGGCUUUCCACUGCCACCAGAGCUGCCUAGAACCACCACUAUGGCUGCCGUGGGAACAGAACGGGUACCAGAAUCUGACAGCGCCGCUGCCAUCGAUAAGAGAUACCAAAACAGCCGCCGUUGCUUACCGUUCUGAGCUGCUACACCGUUAUUACUGCCGUUCGGGUCAUCGGGUGUAGCACGGUUGUUGCCUGAACUACCGCCAGGGAUACCACUGCUUGAUUCAGCCGUUCUUUCUUAGUUUCGUGUUGCUUUGGUUACCGCAAAAGUGGCUUGGAGCUGAGGUUGCGGUUGUCGGUGAUUUCGGGUUGAGAGAGAAUGUUCCUGUGAUGCGUUUAGGUUAUGGUUUCGACGAGUCGAGGAUAUGGACGCAGAAGUCACGAAGAGUUUAUCUAGUUGUCGUAAUGUUUUGUAUUGCUUUAGUUAUUAUUUAUUGUUCCCUCACCUUUAUCUUUAUACAUUCUGUAAGAGGGAUAGGAAUUGUAUUAGUUAAUGCUUGUAAAAUUAUUUAAUAUAUAUACAUAUGUAUGUAUUCUUUGUGAGUUUUGUAAGUUGUAUGGUAUGUAUGGAUGUACGUUACCCAACAAAAGUAUUUUGAAGCGGUAUUGCGGUUUAAAGUUUUAAACAGGCUCAUAUUUUAGUAUUAAAUAUUAUAAGGGCCGUCGUAAUACCCGAGCUAUCAAAGUGGCGCAGACGGAAGUGUGACAUUUUGAUAGCUAGGGUGUUACAUUAUUAAUGCAUUCACAGUCGCAUCUCCAAAGUUCAAACAUACACCAAUUGAUUGUAAAAUAUAAAGUUCAAUGCAGACACAUGUAACUUUUUUUUAUGUUGAACCAUAUAGAUGAUAACAACAUAGUUACUACCAGAGUCAAAUACUGUUCGAUGCAUGAUUGGAUUAAACUGAAAAGAAAUAUUGCAUUACCGAAGGGAGAAAGAGAUCCUCACCUUUCAAACACUAACACUACAAGAAAAAAAUCAAAUUUCCCAAACUAGAUCAUUGAUGCAGUUCCACAACAAGAUCUUUCCAAAUUACUCACUUUCUGGACGACGAAACCAUGACAAAUAACAACAAAGCCUUUUCCUCAACUAGAUCAGUUAGCUACAUGAAUCAAACUAUGCCAGUUUGUCCUACCUCUGCAACCCAUCACCAAAAAAACAUGCACUAAGAAGAUCAUAUUCAAAUCUAGUCACACUGAAAAUCCCAAUUCUACAAAGAAACAAAUGCUAAAGCAGAGUGCAGAGUAUUAAAGAAAUAAUUUUAUAUCCUCCUACUAAAUGAAACAAGUAUUGAUUAAUUCUUACAAGUAUAAAAUACCGACUACAUUUAAUUUUCACUCUAUUUAGCAUCAUGAUAUAGCACUACUCGUCAAAAAAACAAAGUUUCUUUCUUACAAAAAUUGAAUGAAUAAUU